UACGAAGGGUGCUAGCGUUGUUCGGAUUUACUGGGCGUAAAGCGCGCGCAGGCGGCCAUUCAAGUCAGGGGUGAAAUGCCGAAGCUUAACUUCGGAACUGCCUUUGAAACUGUAUGGCUAGAAUAUGGGAGGGGAUAGCGGAAUUCCUAAUGUAGAGGUGAAAUUCGUAGAUAUUCGGAAGAACACCAGUGGCGAAGGCGGCUCACUGGACCGGUAUUGACGCUGAGGUGCGAAAGCGUGGGGAGCAAACAGG
rnacentral:rRNA from 1 species